UAAAAGAGUACACAGUCAGAUUGAGACACAGAAGUUGUUUUAGAGAGAGAGAGGGGCCGAUGAUGACGAAGGUUCCGCCGGUGUCCCAACCUGGCCGUCUGUGCCCUGUCGUUACGGCCGUCGGCCAGUGGCGAUGGUCUCUGUUUCAGAAGACGAUGGAAUGCCGACGAACCCAGAUCCGCCGCCCGCCGCCGACUUUGUCCUGACGUUCCGGUCGUCGGUCAGUGAUGAAAGUCUCUGGUUCAGACGACGAUGGAUGGUGGCGAUGGUGGCCGAUCUGUGUAUCAUUAUCACGUUUCCUCGACUUGGUUCAGACUUUCUUUUCUUUUCUUUGGUACACGUGAUUUAAGAACCAACAGACAGAGGUAUGUUCAUUGCCUCCUCCAAACUCUUCACGUCAGUUUUUUUGGCCAAUUUAGGGUUUCGUGCCAAUGAUUAAAUUACGAAUUGAGGUAUGUUGAUUAUUUAAACAAUGAUUUAGAGUUUUUCUUGGUUGUUUCGUAAUUACAGAGAUUGAGAUUGUUAUAAAGCUUGGCAAUGCAUUAUUGGCUGCCUUUUUUACCCCAUUCAUCUGAUCCUGGUAUUGCAUAUAUAGAUUUGCAUUUGGUACUUUUACGUGAUUUGGCUUUUGGUUUUAGUGGUUGGUGUGUUGUGUGGCACUAUUGGCUUUUUUUUUUAUUGUGGCUAUUGGCUUCUUGGUUUGAUUUUGUUGUUCACUAUGGAUGCUAAACCCUAAUUUAUCUGGGGUUUUAAGGCAGAGAUGAAAAGUGUACACUCAUCUGAGCGUCGGUUAUUUUUUAGCUUGAAUGAUUGAUACAUAACACUUUGGGUUCUCGGGCUGUGAUGAGUUCAUAAAUAUGAACAUAAAUUGAAUAUCGAUGUUGCCUUGGCGUGGCAGGGUUGUUGGAUGGUAGGUGUUCACCUGCAACCCCCUGCAGCCAUGUUGUAUUCAUUGAUUCUGGAAUUCUGAGCACCGUUUGCCUAUUCUUUUAACCAACUUGAUCACUUUCGUUGUCGGUUUCGUGUCUAUGAUGACAAGAUCUGAGCCUCUUUAGUUAAUCUAUACAUUAAAGAACAAACAAAUGGAAAUCAAAAGUUUGUUGAUUAUGGUGGCGAUAGCGCUGGUGGUGAUUCGAAGAGGGCUGCGAUAAUGGGGAAAAAGUGAAAGAUGCGUUCAGUAGAGAAUGGAGAAGUGCAGACUGCACGUUAAUUUGUUUUGAUGAUGAUGUAUGGGAGGUUUGGGUAAAGAUUUUGGUUCGAGUAUUCCUUUGAUAAAGCAUCAUUGGAUGAUUAUGCUUCUUCAAGUUAAAUUACAGCUCCAGCACCACCGACUCUCAUAUCCUUUCAAGAGUGAAAGGGAAGAAAGCUUCUGCUGGAGAUGCGUGAUGAAGAUUGAAGGGUAUCUACAUGCGUCAGGGCUACAAUAGGCAGUCAGCUCUCUUUUUUGAACCGCUUUUGUGUCUUUUUCGACUAGCGCAUCGGUUGGGAUAACAACAAAAUCAGAAGAAAACUGAGGCAAUAUAAAUUCUCUUAAAUAUUGUUUCACCCGCGAAUGUGAACUGUUAAGCAUCCUUAAUAUUUUCAGCAUUUCGUAGUUAGCCUUACAACAUCUGACACAAUAUCAUGUGUUCAAUUCUUGAGGAAUUGAAUUGGAUUUCCAGUUUAUUACGCUUAGGAAAUUGCGGAAAUGCUCAAUACAUAAUUCAGUUAGAUCUUUUAACGUAGUCAAUGUGAAUACUUCUGGUGGAAUUGGAACAAAGCAAUUAUUAUUUAUGA